GAUGAAGAACGUAGCGAAAUGCGAUAAGUAGUGUGAAUUGCAGAAUUCAGUGAAUCAUCGAAUCUUUGAACGCACAUUGCGCCCCUUGGUAUUCCAUGGGGCAUGCCUGUUCGAGCGUCAUUUGUACCUCAAGCUUUGCUUGGUGUUGGGCGUCUUGUCGUAUUACGACUCGCCUUAAAUACAUUGGCAGCCGGCACUUUGGCCUAGGAGCGCAGCACAUUUUGCGAUCGUAGCCCGUUGUACUGGCGUCCAUCAAGAACAUUUACCACGUUUGACCUCGGAUCAGGUAGGGAUACCCGCUGAACUUAAGCAUAUCAAUAAGCGGAGGA
rnacentral:misc_RNA from 1 species